GAAUCAGACAUGGAUCCUGCCCUCGAGGAA
rnacentral:piRNA from 2 species